rnacentral:lncRNA from 1 species
CAAAGAUAACAAGGGACUGCUGGACAGCCACAGUGAGUAUCUCAUGAUCACUUCGUCGUCGUCAUCGUCGUUUUCUUUUAUUUUUUGUAGUUGCAGAUGGACAGAAUGCCUUUCUUUUCUUUUCUUUUCUUUUAAAUUUUAUUUUUAAAAAAUUUAGUUGGAGAUGGACACAAUAACUUUAUUUAUUUAUUUAUUUUUAUGUGGUGUGGGGGAUUGAACCCAGUGCCUCCCAUGUGCUAGGCAAGUGCUCUACCACUGAGCCACUACCCCAGCCCAUGACCACUCUUCUUUAUCCUCCUCUUCCACUCCCACCACUGAAUUAUUUUAAAGCAAAUUCUGGACAUUAUUAUAUUUUAUUUAUAAAUCUUUUAGGCUCUAUCUGCAAAUAAUAAUUAUUUAAAAUCCAAGCGUUAUUGAGGAAAACCUGGUAUAUGAGAACUGCCUGUCAAAAAUGGAAUGUUCUGAAGGAAAAGAAAGAGGAUAUAACAAAAUGCAAUUUAUUGGGAAAUUAUGCAUAGAAGUGUAUCAGCAAGACAGGACGAUUCCUGCACCUGGAGGCAGAAGAGGCUUAUAUGCUAAGCUAGGCAAAGGUGGGCUACUCCAACUAGAACAUACCAGGGCUUUUUCAAAAACUACUAAUAUGUCGAAUGUCAGUUUAUCAGUUUUGGGAGCUGGGGAUGUAGCUCAGUGAGAGAAGUGUGAUUAGCAUGUGUGAAUCCCUGGGUUCAAUCCCCAGCACCAAUGAAUGUAAAAAAAAAAUUAAAAAGAAGAAGAAAAAAAGAAAGAAGGAAACAGUCUGGUGUCAGUGGUUGUCACAACAUGUUUGACUAUGUUAACGGCUUUGCUUAUCUGGCGGAUUUGGAAUGCAUGCCACCAUCAUCUGGUGGGCAAAAUUGUGAAUACAACCAAGUUGGCUCUAGUCAUGUCAAGAUAGAUUAUCGCAUAUGCACAAUACCAUUAUCAUACCUUGGCCUCUAAUACCCAGUCCUUAUUCACAUUUUUCUGAUUUUCUCAAGAAAUUGUUCUGUAGUCAUUUGGUUCAAAUCAGGAUCCACCUGAAGUGCACACUGUGCAUUUGGUGGAUGUAUUUCUGAGAUCUCUCAUAAUCUGCAAUGACCUUCUUGGGACUUACCUGGCAAGUGUUACAACUUGUAGAGGAACAGAGGGCUUUCUGGUACAGCCAUGUCAUAUUAGAUUCCCACUAGGUGGUGCUGGAGUUCUGAUAUAAUUUGACAAGUGCAGAAGAAUUCCAUUUCUCAUAAUCUGAGUCUAGACAAUGUCAUUAAGUUCUCACAACAACCCAUAUGAUAGCAAUAAUGCUCAUUUUAUAGAUGUAAAAAUUAAGUCCAAGGGAGAUUUUUAAAAUAAGAAAUAAUGGUUUCUUUUACCUCAUCUCACAGACCACAUCUGUUUUUUUCUCCAGAAUUUCUGUUGACCCAGGACAACCAACAGUGCCAGAUGCCACCACCAAAAGCACCAAUAGGUCUUCUUGCUAAUAAACAGCAAGGGGAUUUCAGAGAGUUAAAGGAGUGUGUAUUUGGCGAUGCUGAGACAACAGCUCUAACUACACCAUCCCUCCCAUGGAGUACAGAUAAAAAGCAUUUUCAUUUCUCAUAACUGCUUCAGAUGUCAGCAGUUCUCUUUGUUUCUGUAUGGAUUCAUCUUGACAUGACUGCAGCCAUCUUGAGUCAUAACCACCAUGAUGUCCCCUGGAAAAAUCCCAGUUGGUUUUUUCUGCACAGUUUUCCAGCAAACUAUAAACAGACAAAAGCAUUACCGUGGUAUGUGGAGCUUUACAACUGUACCCUGGCAUCAGGGAUGUGCCUGUCUCCUUGAUGUUAGCUUAGAUAAAUCAGGUACAAUUAUGGGUUUGAUGAAGACACUUUUGUCCUUACCCAAUUUAUAUGCCCCUCCUUACUCAAAUUGUGAGGAUCUACUUGAUCUUGCUGCUGCCCAGGAC